rnacentral:rRNA from 1 species
CACGUACCCAUCCCGAACACGACCGUUAAGCCCUCCAGCGCCGAUGGUACUUGGACCGCAGGGUCCUGGGAGAGUAGGACGUCGCCAAGC